AGAUUGAACGCUGGCGGCAUGCCUAACACAUGCAAGUCGAACGGCAGCGCGGGUAGCAAUACCUGGCGGCGAGUGGCGGACGGGUGAGGAAUACAUAGGAAUCUACCCUGUCGUGGGGGAUAACGUAGGGAAACUUACGCUAAUACCGCAUACGACCGAGAGGUGAAAGCGGCGGACCGCAAGGCGUCGCGCGGCUGGAUGAGCCUAUGUCCGAUUAGCUAGUUGGCGGGUAAGAGCCCACCAAGGCGACGAUCGGUAGCUGGUCUGAGAGGAUGAUCAGCCACACUGGGACUGAGACACGGCCCAGACUCCUACGGGAGGCAGCAGUGGGGAAUAUUGGACAAUGGGCGCAAGCCUGAUCCAGCAAUGCCGCGUGUGUGAAGAAGGCCUUCGGUUGUAAAGCUACUUUUGUUGGGAAGAAAGCACGUGGUAAUACCCUGGUGUUCGUGUACGGUACCCAAAGAAUAAGACACCGGCUAACUCGUG
rnacentral:rRNA from 1 species